rnacentral:rRNA from 1 species
UUUGGUGGCUUGGCGCCGGGGUCACACCCGUUCUCAUUCCGAACACGGAAGUUAAGCUCGGUAGCGGCGAUGGUAGUCUGGGUACAACCAGGCGAGAGUAGCUAGCCGCCAGAA